rnacentral:lncRNA from 1 species
UUACUGUAUAAACUUCUCGGUGAUUUCAUCCAUCCCUGCAUCCACAUGACAUCAUAAUAUCAUAAACUCAGCCGGGGUUGUGAAUUUUUAACUCUCAUUUGAACAGUAUCACUUUAAUAUCUGGCAAUAUUGUCCUCAACAUAUAUCUAAACAUGAUCUUUCUUAACUUCCUAAUGGAACCCCCCAAACUGCUGCUCUACCAACUUAUAAAACUAAUCUCUCAAACAUCGAAAUGAAAAAAAAACUCAGAGAAUCAUUUUUAUCUCUCAAGCUCCUAAUUCCUACAUGUGAGAAUCACUAAACCCUACUUACUUUUUUCUACCUCUCCUGUCCUGUUUGUAUGCCUACCACUAAACAUCUUGAUACUUUGUUUCUUUACUGCUUCAUAUACAGACACUUGUGAUCAGAACCUGCUUUGUGGCCUGGUGCAAGUCACUCACCUCCCCUUUCUGUACAAAUUCUCAACAUUUUUAUAAGUUGACAACCAAACAUCUAGGGCAUUUUUAAGCUGGCAAAUAUAAGUGGAAGAGAUCAAAAAAUAGAAAAAAAAAUCAAAAGCAGGCCUAAGGGCACAUGUGUACCUUUCUGACACUAGGGGAGUGUUAUGAGCUGAUUUUAUGCAUGUGAGCCUCAGGGUUUUUUAAGCGCCAGAUGAGCCACAUCCUUUUGACCCUUCAGUAACCUCCCUUAGAAGGUUCAAACACCAGGUGCUUGAUUAUUAUGCUGCUUUGGUAUCAAUUCUCAGAACUGCAAGUCCUUGCCAUAAUUGCUGCUCUCAAUGGCUCUGGUCCUUUGCUCCUUCAACCUCCAUUCAGUGUUACAAUGGAAAUGAUCCUUCUAAAGUCAUCCUUAAAAAUUAAACAACAACUGUGAUCAAGCUGCAAAUGAGUUUAUUCAGAAAUAGCAGAGGAAUUGCAAUUUGGGCCAACUAUGGUGAACUACAGGCAAGUCCAGAGAACAAAAGGAGAGAGCAUCCUUUUAUAGAGGAAAGAAGAAAAUUGGGAGGAGCUGUGUUAGAAAAGUUCAUUGGGGGGAUUCCUGGGUGGCGCAGCGGUUUAGCGCCUGCCUUUGGCCCAGGGCGUGAUCCUGGAGACCCGGGAUCGAGUCCCACCUCGGGCUCCCUGCAUGGAGCCUGCUUCUCCCUCUGCCUGUGUCUCUGCCUCUCUCUCUCUGUGUCUCUCAUGAAUAAAUAAAUCUUUAAAAAAAAAAAAAAAAAGUUCAUUGGGGGAAAAUGAGAGUUUUAUAUACCUAUGUAUGUAAUUUUCACAUCAUAACUCAGAGAAACUCAGAUUAUGUUACCUUAUCAAUCAAUUCUUUUAAUGGCUCCUCAGUCCUUACUGCAUUAAAACCCAGACUUAACCCCCUCUCCCCUCCCCCACCAGUCAAGUGCCCCUAAUCUUGUCUGUACCUGCCUUUUCAGUCUUGUCUUCUCCUUUCUUUCUUUCUUUUUUUGAGAUAGACAGAGAACAUGCAGGGAGGAGAGCAUGAAUAGGGGUGUGAGAGUGAAGGGGGGGGCACAGAGAGAGAGAGAGAAUCUUUAAAAGGCUCCACGCCCAGCACAGAGCCCAACACUAGGCUUGAUCCCACAGCCCUGAGAUCAUGACCUGAGCCGAAAUCGAGUCAGAUGUUUAACUGAUGGAACCACCUAGAUGCCACAAAGAUACAUUUUUUAUAGUUGCAUUGUAAUCUAUUUUGUGGAUACCUGUAAUUUACUUAUCCAUUCAUCAAAGCUGUUUCUGACCUGUUCCUUUUCUUGAAAAAAAGGCGGGACGCACCAGGGUGGCUCAGUUGUUUAAGUGUCUGCCUUCAGCUCAGGUCAUGAUUCCAGAGUCCCAGGAUCAAGCCCCCUGUUGGGCUCCCUGCUCAAUCAGGAGCCUUCUCCCUCUCCCUCUCCUGUGCUCCUUCUUAUGCUCUCUCUCUCUCUCUCUCUCUCAAAUAAAUAAAUAAACUCUUAAAAAAAAAAACUGUCUCUGUAGAUAUACUUUGCAUAUUUGUCUUAUAAAGUCAUAUUAUAAAUUUCUAGUAUAGAAAUUGCUAGAUGAAAGAAAAAGCUUUUUUUUAAGUUUAUUAUUUUUUUUGGUAAUAUCAUCACCCAACAUGGAGCUCACACUCAUGACCCUAAGAUCAUUAGUCGUAUGCUCUUCCUACUGAGCCAGCCAGGCACCCAGAAAAGAACAAGCUUUGAAAACUGAAAGCAAUAUAAUUACCUGUCCCUAUCUUGAAUAAUAGUAGAACUAGACACUAGACAUACUCUCCCGUACUUAUGUUAAACAAUUCUGAAACCAAGCAAAAAUAACCUGGUUGGGCAGCCCGGGUGGCCCAGCGGUUUAGCACCGGCUUCAGCCCAGGGCUUGGUCCUGGAGACCCAGGAUGGUCCCACGUCAGGCUCCCAGCAUGGAGCCUGCUUCUCCCCCUGCCUGUGUCUCUGCCUCUCUCUCUCUGCCUCUCAUGAA